AUGUUGAGCAAGCAAAUACGCAAGUCUAGAGCUGGAGGCAUAGCCUGUCUCAAAACCCUGCAGUCCUUGCUAAGCUCCGUUCCAUUUGCUCGCCACCCAGCCAGCAAGCCCUCCCCGCACCCCACCACCAUGUUGCAGUCCCCCUCUCUGUGUCUCUUGGUUCAAAUUUUGAAUGGGUCGGCUGACUUUGAAUCUGAUGCUUCCAUCUGUGGCCAGCGAGAGGAGGACUCUGCUUUUCCAACAUAGACGUCUGGACUCAGAAGAUCCUUGCGUCAGGCAUUUCCCGGGAAAAGGAACUAUUUUAUAGUAAAUGUCACCCUAGUGCAAAUUCUGUAGUUGCAAAAGUAGCAAAGGAGAAAGUCCAUGGUUUCCUGAUAAGCCUUUCCUGAGAAUAAACUUUAGGUAUGAUGAUGAGCUAAACAUUAAAUAAAUAGGAAUCAAAUACACCGGAAUGAAAGCAGUGAGGUUAAAAAAGGGGGGGAAGAAAAGAGGAUCGAAAUGAAAAGGAAAGAAAAGAAAAUGUAGAAAACAAGAGGGAAAGAACAGAGUUCACCAAAUGAAACGUUUCCUUGAGAAUGUGUGUGUGUGUCUGAGGCCAGUAGAUCAGUAGGGAAAGAAUGAAUCGGGGUUUUAGAGAAACAAAAAUGCAAAAAGGGGGGAAAGGGGUUAUGUGUUGGAUUAUAGCCAGUUUUCCAGCUCCAGACAUCUGGAGCCAAGACAGGGAAAGGUGAGGAGAUGUCCUUUGCAGCAGCUCUUGCCUCCAUGGGGGCUGGUUACUCGGGAUAUUUACAUUAAAUUAACGUGGCUGGCUGCGGCUGUGUCCAGCGCUUGGAUACGCGGUUAAAUAAUCAGUGUGGUUUGGCCGCUGGUUUCUUUACUGUGGUUGAAUAAUUGGUGUUGUCUCCGUUGCUAGCUACUUUAAAAAUGGAUAUGUGCACUUGUUUCUCUUUUUUUCUUUCUCUUGAGCAAUUUUGACAAGCCCUGGGCAGAAAAGUGGCUGACCUGCUUAUAAAGGGAUGCUUUUUCUCCUUGUCAUUUGUGCUUCCCCCAGAUAUUCUUCAAGGCUUUGAGAAUUGUAGACUUUUCCGCCUGGAAUCUAGAUGAAGCGCUCUACUUAGGAAGGAAUUCAGUCCACCCCUCUUGUUUGUAGCAGCAAAGAGAUAAGGCUGAGCCUAAGGGCAUCUGUAGUUCUCCAAAACUGGCCCCCAUUUCUUUUCUUUCCUUUUUUAUUUUUUUGCUUUUUAGGCUGCAUAUUCGUCAUAUGGAGGUUCCCAGGCUAGGGGUUGAGUCAGCGCUGCAGCCAGCCUACGCCACAGCCACAGCAACACGGGAUCCAAGGCACAUCUUCAACCUACACCACAGCUCAUGGCAAUGCCAGAUCCUUAAGCCAAUGAAUGAGGCCAGAGAUCGAACCCAGAUCCUCAUGGAUACUAGUUGGGUUCUUAACCUGCUGAGCCACAACGGGAACUCCCAUUUUGUUGCUUUUUAAAAACAAUUGCCAAAUUACCACAAGCCGUCUUGCCCUGAGAAAUAUUCUUCUCUCCAAACGGCUCUGUCUCUUACGUCUCCAAACCCAACCCCAACUUGAGGUAAAUGAUCUCAGAGCAAUUAAUGCUCUUUCAGCAGCAAACUGACUGGGACGGCUGGGCCAGGUGACAGUACAAGUCAGGGACGAGCCUCCACCUGACAACAAAUUCCGAUGAUGUAUGUAUAUUAGUCGUGGAUGAAGGCCAAGUCUUCAACUGCCACCCAGAACCACAGGUUCUCCGGGUUCCAUAGCACAAGGAACCCAGAGCUCCAAAUUUAAAGUCACAUAGAGAGGAGUUCCCGUUGUGGCGCAGUGGUUAAUGAAUCCAACUAGGAACCAUGAGGUUGCAGGUUCGGUCCCUGGCCUUGUUCAGUGGGUUAAGGAUCCCGCGUUACCGUGAGCUGUGGUGUAGGUCGCAGACACGGCUUGGAUCCCGCAUUGCUAUGGCUGUGGUAUAGACCGGUGGCUGCAGCUCCAUUGGACCCCUAGCCUGGGAACCUCCAUAUGCCACAGGAGCAGCCCUAGAAAAGGCAAAAAGACAAAAAAAUAAAAUAAAAUAGAAUAAAGUCACAUAGAGAGAGGGAGGAAACGAGUGUUUCAGAGGGAGAAGUGGGGAGGAAAGAGCAAAGUGUUUUCAAACAUGGGUCAUCAAUCAUAGGAUAAUUUCACUUCUACUGGAAGGCUAGAACAUACAUUUUAGGUCAAUCACUCAGUGCUUAUUCAGAUUAAAAAUAUAGAGACAUCUGCAGUUCCCAUUGUGGCUCAGUGGUUAACGAACCUGACUAGCAACCUGGCCUCGCUCAGUGGGUUAAGGAUCCGACGUCACUGUGAACUGCGGUGUAGGUCGCAGACGUGGCUCAGAUCUGGCAUUACUGUGGCUGUGGCAUAGCCUGAUGGCUACAGCUCCAAUUCGACCCCUAGCUUGGGAACCUCCAUAUGCCGUGGGUGUGGCCCUAAAAAAAACCCAAAAAAUAAAAACUAGGGACAUUUGUUCUGAUCAAUCUCAAGGCACAGGUUAAGGGGGGAGUUCCUAAGAUUUUAAUGGGAUUUGGAAGAGGAUUCUUUAGAAUUCAUUGAUCUUGCCACUUUAGGAAGAAGUCUUAUUUCCCUCUAUAAAAGGCAUUCUUUUCUUCUUUUGUUUCUUUUAAGGCUGCACCUGUAGCAUAUGGAAGUUCCCAGACUAGGGGUCGAAUUGGAGCUGCAGCUGCUUGCCUGCAUCACAGCCACCGCCAUGCAGGAUCUGAGCUGCAUCUGUGGCCUACACCAAAGCUUGAGGCAAUGCCAUGGAUAGAGGCCAGGGUUCAAACCUGCAUCCUCAUGGAUACUAGUCAGACUCUUAACCCGCUGAGCCUCAGUGGGAACUCAUAAAAUUCAUCUUUUAACACUUUUUUUGAGAAUUACCAAC
rnacentral:lncRNA from 1 species